CCCUCCCCUUCCCCUCCCCCUCCCCCUCUCCCUCUCCUAGGAAACCCAGUUUACUUCCCAUUCCUACUCCCAGAAAUUGGAGGUGGACAGGAACAUCAACGAACACACUUACAUUUCAGGAUCCGUAAAAAUGAGAUAUACGUGUAACCUAAUGGCAGAUAACGCCACAGCAAAGCCGUCAUGGCGGAGGGCUUGGUUGAGCAAAGCUGCUCACUUCACAGCAGCCAGAGAACAGAACAAGAGCAAGAGACAGCGCAAAGGUCCACUUCAGAGGUGCGUGCCCAUCACCUACUGCCGCUGCGUAGGCCCCGCCUCCUAACAGCAC
ensembl:lncRNA